AUUGAACGCUGGCGGCAGGCCUAACACAUGCAAGUCGAGCGGAUGACGGGAGCUUGCUCCUUGAUUCAGCGGCGGACGGGUGAGUAAUGCCUAGGAAUCUGCCUGGUAGUGGGGGACAACGUUUCGAAAGGAACGCUAAUACCGCAUACGUCCUACGGGAGAAAGCAGGGGACCUUCGGGCCUUGCGCUAUCAGAUGAGCCUAGGUCGGAUUAGCUAGUUGGUGGGGUAAUGGCUCACCAAGGCGACGAUCCGUAACUGGUCUGAGAGGAUGUUCAGACACACUCGACAUGAGAAAGAGUCCAGACUCCUACGGGAGGCAGCAGUGGGGAAUAUUGGACAAUGGGCGAAAGCCUGAUCCAUCCAUGCGGCGUGUGUGAAGAAGGUCUUCGGAUUGUGAAGCACUUUAAGUUGGGAGGAAGGGCAGUAAACUAAUACCUUGCUGUUUUGACGUUACCGACAGAAUCAGCACCGGCUAACUCUGUGCCAGCCGCCGCGGUAA
rnacentral:rRNA from 1 species